CACAAGGCUCCAUCCUCGGACCUGUACUGUUUCUAAUUUACAUUAACGACCUUCCCACCUGCAUUACAUAAACAAUCAGGCUUUCGCGAAUGAUUGUGUCCUCCACUGCGUAAUAUCUAACUCUUAUGAUUCUCAACUUCAAUCUGAUCUUGACAGCAUUAGUUCUUGGUGUUCACUCGGGUCCAUGAAAUUGAAUGUUAACAAAUGCAGAAUAAUGAGGAUUUCCCAAAGAACUGCCGACUGUACCAUCGCUGUUUAUUCCAUUACUAAUUUUCAUUUGUUACGUGUCAAUACUUCGAUACCUAGGUGUCCGCAUAGAUAACAAUUUAUCACGGAUACUGACGUUAACUACGUCAUUAACAAUGCAAAUCGCACUCUUGGUUUUUUGCAACGUAACUUUGCUUUGGCUCCUAUUUCCUUAAAACUUCUUGAUAAAACUUUAGUCGGGUCAAAACUCAAGUGCGCUUCUUCAAUCUUGAAUCCUCGCUCCUCUACACUUGUAAACACACUAGAAGCCAACCAAAAUCGUUCAGCUCGGUUCAUUGUUUCUAAUUAUUCUCGCACCGCCAGUAUUACUUUAAUAAAGAUUUCUCUAGACCUUCCUAACCUCUCUGUCAAAAGGAAGCAGGCCCGCCUAUGUCUCUUUCAUAAAAUCUUCUUUACGAAUCCUGAACAGAAAUGCACAUUGUUCUCGCCACCUUGUUAUUUUUCAUCCUGCGUCAACCAUAACUUCAAAGUACAAGUGCUGUUCUGUCAGACCAACAUGUACUUCCAUUCCUACGUGCCAAAGACAUCAUCAGAAUGGAAUCACCUCUCUGCCUCCAUCGCCAGCAACCCUGAGCAUGCGUCAUUCAAGACUGCCAUUCUGAACAUGUAACACCACUCCUCUCUGUAAUGCCACAAUGGCAUUGAGAGCAUUUAAAUAAAUAAAUAAAUAGAUAGGUGCUAAACACAACUUUCAAGCUUACACACCAAAGUCAGAUUGUCUCGCGAACAGAAUGUGUAACGAGAAAGACAUGGAGGCGAUUCCACGGGAGAUCAAACAUGCAUGUCCGCUUGAUAUUUUUGUCUUGUCUGGUUUGUCUUCUCUUGACUGCAUGGAACCGCAAAUUUUAUUCCCCAUAAGUGUUCUCAGCUAGUUAAAAAAGUAUUUGAAGGUGGCAGUGGGAGCAUCCUCCUAUUGCUUACCAUAAUAUUCUUACGCCAAGGACAAGUCAGUAAGACGAGCAACUAUUUACACGUUAUAUUUACAACAGCGGUUGCAGCGCUGACUGGUUAGACUCACAGUGCGAACCCAGUUCGUUCUUCCUCCUCUUUUCUCGAGUGAUGGCGCCCACUCACCUCGUUCAAACAAUCCAACACCACACGCGUGUAGCAUAAUCCCCCAGCAGCAGAAGCGACGUCCCGAAGCGUCUAAAUGUCAUCACUGGGAGGGUGAUACUGCUUCAGUCAUGUAACGCGCACGAUAUCACUGGACUGGAAAGCAGAUAGGGUGUCAGGGGCGAUCUCGUAGGUGACAGUAGUCACGGCAUGAAGCACUCGGUAUGGGUCUGUGUAACGAGACAGCAGUUUUUCUGACAGGCCGACCUGACGCAACGGAGACCAUAGAAGCACCAAAGAAAUAGGCGGGAAGUGCACAUCUCGGUGUCGCCGGUUGUACUAACGCCUUUCACUCUCUUGGGAUUUCGGAAGGCAGUCACGGGCAAUUUCUCUUGCGUGGGCACAGUGGGCGAUGGUGUCAAGUGCAUAUUCAUUGGUCGAUGCCGCUUGAACAGGUAGAGUUGUGUCGAGGGGCAGUGCUGGUUCUUGGCCGAACAGAAGGAAAAAUGGGAAAUAACCGGCGGUGUCGUGGCGCGAGGAAUUAUAAGCAAAUGUGACAAACGGUAGAGUGAGGUCCCAGUCAAUGUGGUCUGAAGAUACAUAUUUCGCGAGCAUGUCUGUGAGAGUGCGAUUGAGAUGGUGCGUGAGGCCAUUUGUUUGCGGAUGGUAUGACAUGGAUAGCUUGUGCCUCAUGGCACAGGAGUGCAGGAUGUCCGGGAUAACUUUUGAUAGGAAUGUCCAGCCACGGUCUGUGAGAAGUUGUUGCGGAGCUCCAUGUUAUAAAAUCACGUCGCGUAGAAGAAAAUGGGCGACAUCUGUGGCACAGCUAGUAGGAGGCGCUCGGGUGAUGGCGUAGCGCGUGACGUAAUCACAGCGAUCCACCUGUUUCAGAGGUAGAAAGAGGAAAAGGGCCAAGUAAGUCCAAACCAACCCGAAAGAAUGGUUCCGCGGGAAGUCGAGUGGUUGAAGGUAGCCAGCAGGGAGCGUCAGUGGUGUCUUGUGUCGCUGACAUUUCUCACACGCAGCUACCUAUCUUCGAACGGAGCAAGCAAGCCCUGGCCAAAAAAAGCGUUGGCGGAUCCGGUCGUAGGUAUGUGACACACCCAGGUGACCGGCAGUGGGGAGGUCGUGAAGUUCGUAGAGAACAGCCAAGCGAAGGUGUUUACUGUUUAGGGAUCACAAGGAGUAAUGCAGGGCCGUCGGGGUGAACAUUGCGGUGGUAGGGUGCGCCAUCUUGAAGUGUGAAUAAGCAAAGGAAACUGUCGGCAAGUAACGAUUCCAGGCGGUCAAUGAUGAUACACAAGGACGGCUCACAGCGCUGCUCAUCGGCGACAUGGAGCAGUGAAAAAACAGAAAGAACACAGGCAUCGGUGACAGUAUCAGACGUAGAGGUCGCAUCUUUGACUGUGUAGCGAGAGAGGCAAUCUGCGUCCUGGUGUUGGCAUCCCGACUUGUAAGUCACUGUGUAGGGAUAUUCUUGUAGUUAGAAGGCCCAACGACCGAGCCGGCCAGUAGGAUCCUUGAGCGACAAAAGCCAACAGAGCACAUGAUAGUCUGUGAUUACUGAGAAGGGCUUGCCAUAUAAGUAUGGGCGGAACUUUGAAACAGCCCAGACAAGAGCAGGACAUUCAUGCUCAGUAAUCAAACAGCUGCGCUCUGCAGGGGCGAGGAGCCGGCUGGCGUAGGCUAUAACGCGGUUGUGUCCGUGUUGGCGUUGCGAUAAGACGGCGCCGAUCCCAUAACCACUGGCAUUGGUUUGGACCUCUGUAGGUGCGUACGGGUCAAAGUGGGCCAAGGUUGGUGGAUUGGAGAGAAUCGUGAUAAGGCAUGAAAAUGCAGCAGCCCGAGGGGAACCCCACGUAAAAGGCACGUCUUUUUUCAGAAGUUCAGCGAGUGAUCGAGUGAUUGCUGCAAAAUCUUUCACGAACCGUUGGAAAUAAGAACAGAGCCCCACAAUAUUAUGGACGUCUUUGACAGACUGAGGUACAGGAAAAGCCGUUACCGCUUGAACCUUCUCCGGGUUGGGUUGUACUCCGGCACUAUCAAUGAGAUUGCCUAGCACUGUAAUCUGUCGGCGCCCGCAGUGGCACUUCGAUGAGUUUAACUGGAGCCCAGCCAUGCGGAAGACAUCAAGGACAGCUGCGACGCGCUGAAGGUGAGUCUCAAAUGUAGGAGAGAAUACAAGGAUGUCCUCGAGGUAACAAAGGCAAAUUGACCAUUUGAAACCUUUAAACAGAGAGUCGAUCAUCCGUUCGAACGUGGCGGGGCAUUGCAUAAACCAAACGGCAUAACCUUGAAUUGGUAGAGGCCAUCUGCAGUGACGAAAGCGGUCUGUUCUUGGUCUUGCUCAUCGACGGAAAUCUGCCAAUAGCCAGAUCGAAGGUAGACGGACGAAAAGUAUUUGGCACCGCGAAGACAAUCAAGAGCGUCGUCGAUUCGUGGUAAAGGGUAAACGUCCUCUUUAGUAAUUCGGUUUUGGUGGUGGUAAUCAACUCGGAAACGUCACGUGCCAUCUUUCUUUUUGACGAGCACAACCAGCGACGCCCAAGGACUUGACGAGGGCUCAACAAUGCCUCUGAUGAGCAUCUUGUGUACUUCAUGCUGAAUAACUUUCCACUCUUCCGUGGUGAAUGGGAGCCGCAUCACCAGUGUUUAUCCGAUGCUUAACAAGGGGCGUCUGACCAAGUGGUCGAUUGUCAGUGUCAAAUAUAUUGCGGGAGAAAAGAAAAAGUGAUAUAGGGCGGCUGGUUGGUCACGUGCAAGGUCCGGAGCGACCAUGGGGCGUAAUGGGCCGUCGAGGUUCAAGUCAUCCUGCGGAUAAUCAUGAGGAUCUGGAGACACGUCGGCUGCAAAAGCAGUGACGUGGUCAUCUGUCACUGACCAGAGCGUGGCCACUGCUAUGCCUUCAGGUAACGCUUGCUUCGUCAAGCCAAAAUUGAUAACGGGGAGACCGAUCCGAUUAGUGGCAAGGGUUACGACGAAGGGUGGCAUAGAAACGCGCACCAGGAGGACAUCACAAAUAUGUGCGACAACAUAGACGCCAUCAGCCACGGUUGCCGUUGAGGCGAAUUCGACGAAGGUUAGGACUUUUGGAGGCAAGUGAACAAACACUGUAGUGCAGAGGGUGUUCGGGGCAAACAUCUGAAAGAACAGGAAGCUUGAGGCACAGCGUACCGGUGGCACAGUCGAUGAGGGCAGAAUGCGUCGUCAGAAAGUCGAGCCCGAAGAUUAGGUCAUGAGGGCAACUGGUCAGCACGGUGAGCAGGACUGGAACUUGGCGGGCAGCAAUUCCUAUGCGAGCAGUGCACAUACCCUGACGGCAACAGUGGCGCCAUCGGUGAUGCAUACGGCUCGAGUGAUGGUGUGCGUAAGAACUUUUUUGAGGCGACGACAUAGGUUAGCGCUCAUUAUGGACACUUGUGGCGCGAUCUUGUACGCGUUCCAAAAUCGAACGGAGGCGGUCCAUUCUUUACAUCACGAAAUAGGCGGUCCGCAAUGUUUGCGAGAAUGAGAGGAAGCAAACAACCAAUGAGCGAAGUGGAAGCCUGCAUCACGCUUUUGACGUCUGCUUGGGGAACGUAUAACAUAUUGAGAAGCGUUUCUAACAUUUCGAGAAAUAUUUUACUAUUAUGACUGAGUAGUAAAAUGUGUUGUUGAUUUUGAAACAUUCAAUUUGGAAUGCGGAAUGACUGAAACAAAUUAUUGGGGUUAAUGUCUUGAAAUGGCGCUAGGUGGCGUCUCAGCUUUGCGAAACGUUUACUGGUGGCGCUAGCCACUACCCAGUUUCAAGCAAACGGCGCGACUUUUGAAGUGGUUGGUUCAGUCCAGCAGUUGCGUGCAGAAAGCCAAAGUUCUUCAUUCUAUGGGAGAGCCAUGGUGCAAAACCUGACACCUUGCGCACCCAUCAAGGAACCGCGUGCUUCCGAGGGCCAGCGGGAGACGGUGCUCACUUUUAUGGAGCAGCAUCCCCAGCUGGCUUUAAGAUCCAGCAAGCUGGGGCCAGGCUUCACUGUUGGCAACUGGCGAUGGCCGUGGCAGCAGCUGGCCAAUGCGCUGAACGAGGAAGGGCCUGUCAUAAAAACGGUGAAACAGUGGCAGGAGUGGUGGCAAAAACAGGUGUUCGAGGCCCGCCACGACGCUACCACAAUCGCCCAAGAGCAAAGGUGAGUGACCGUCGAAUGGUCUGGGCGAUUUGUCCUUCAACAUUGGUGUGUAUAUUCAGAAGCACUGGAGGGGGUCGCUUUUCCGUCUUCCACGGCCGAGUACUGCAGCUGACAGGGACAGUCCGCUUGCGUGGCAUCACCACCCUUCCCUACCAAGAGGUAAGCACACUGCCGCCAUAAUAGCAUGGGUUCUUGAACGGUGCCGACUUAGAGUUUGCCAUUAUCUGUAAGUGGUACCUUUAGUGGAACACGACACUUUGGUGAACAGGCAAAUAGCGCAGGAGAGAAUGGAUAAGCAGGUAGGUUAAUCAACUAGAAUCUCAGUUGGCUGCGCUUUUGGGAAAAGGGGGAUUAAGUGAUCAUCACAGAAAUAGUAUGCCUUCAGGGAACUGCACGAGAAUAGUAAUACAUGGGAUUAUUAAGCACUUAAUAAUUGCAGAAUAUUUCCGCAAAUAUGUAGUACGAAAACUUGUAACAUAGGCAGUGUAACGAAUAGCCACGUAGUGGAGGGACAUGCUCAUGACACUUUCCAGCAGGCUGACAUUCGCACUGCAGCUAUAGAAGUCGUCGAAGCUACGGACGAGGCUGCGGGCAUGAGGAGCACAGUGACACUUAAGCAUCAGAGGAAUGAGUGUUUUAAUUAUCACCAAAUGUGUGUGCAGUUUGUAAACGUUUAAUGUGUUUACUCUACAGUGGCAGAGGAUCCACCGCGCGGCACAUCAGUCACAGUAAGGGUGGCUGCUGCACCUGCGUCCUGCACGGCCACCACGUGGACAGCGACCGCGACGGGCGGACACCCUCCCGACCAUGUCGUCGCAAUGUGCCCGCAGCCUCGAACAGGGCGACGAGAUGCUCCAGGUUGGUAGAUUCUUUGCUGUCAUUUUACAUGAAGGACGUAAGUAUUCCUUAUGCUCUGUUAUCAUAAGUGAAUUGGAAUCUGAAAAACAAACCAACUUGGGAUGUAAACAAAGAAAUAUGCGUCGUAUUGAGGGCUCGGUAUCGUAUCUUGCCAAUGAUCAACCGCCGGGCAAAAGGUUGGUUAGCCCUGAAAAGGGCUGUUUGGUGGUGAGAGAUGCAUUUGAGUAGAUGACGGAAGAAUAGUUCCAGCAGGUCUUUGUCUGUCCAAACAAAGAGGGCAUAGCUUGUACACGACGCUUGACACUGCCAAAGGAUGCCAUCAGGCCAGUGGCUCUUCAACAGAGAGGGAAUUGUUGUGCACGUUGCGAUUCUUGACAACAGCAGCUUCCAGCCAUGAGCUGGUUGCGAGUCAUCAGCAACUCAUGCGAACUGUUCCACCACGAUUAUUCAUUCCAGGUGCUGCGGAGGAUUGAAGAAUCCACCACCCGCCUCGCUGUCGCGGCAGAGAGGACAGCAGCGGCUCAGGAGGGCAUCAUGGGGCAGGUGCGCUCCAUGGCACGGGACAUAGCUGCGCACCUGCAGCAAGAAAUUAAUUUAUUGUUUAUUUUCACCUUUUCAAUGUCAUUUUACUCAUUUAUUGUGUUUUAUGAGUUCAGUUUAUUUUAUUUAUUUAUUGCUGUUUGAGUUUUAGAAGUUAACUUUCAUUUGAGGCAUGAAUUGUUGCUUCAUUUUGAGUUUUAAGUUUCCUUGUUGCCUUGUAUGAGUAACACAGGAGGAUCUUUUGGACGAAAGGCGUAAUGCGUGCACCCAUUUUUGUUCUGUAGUAUUUGCCUCUUUCUAUUUAUGCUUAUCCAGCUGCAACGCCAGCAUGCUUUUUUUAUUUACACAUUUCGAAGGCGCAUAGUCAUUCACGCUAGAAUAAUUACAAAUAAUUCUCGAUUUCAGUGUAUGGGUUCUGUACUUUGAUAUUUAUAUUGCUUCAAUAUGUGUUGUAGCUUACUGCACUCAUUGUGAAGCAUUAGUGCAUAGUGUUUGCACUGUGAUAUUUUCAUUUCGGCACAGUGAGGCUAUGGUGCAACAACUACAAUGUGCUCUUUUUUUUUUUAGAGCACCAAAUUAGCCACUCUUUAAGUUGCAUAGUAGUUUCACAAAUGAGAACGGCCAUCAUCAUUGUACCACGCCAGUGAUUGGUUUCCUCUAGUCUUCAUUCCAAGUGAGUCAUUGCAAGAAUAAGUUUCACGUGUGACACAUUCUGGGUGCUGUGAUAUUGUAGAGCCAAUUAUUCAUGUUGUAUGUAAUUUAAGUUUCAUCACAGCUGGCAAGUGCACUCACCUUUUUACAAUUAUGAUUCACUUGUUGUUUAGCAUCGCACUACAAUUGCUGUCGAGAAAUGAAUGCUUCUAGUCAGUGACUCAUAACACUGAGAAGGGAACGGACAUACCCGUCAAAGCCAUACUUUCUUGCAAGGUAACAUAAAUGUAACUGCAAGUUUUAUGUGCCAUGGUGAAAACGAAUUGUGUGAUGCUGAUGUUGCAAUGUUCUCACAUGCUUCGCUACGUGUAGCAUGUUGUACCACAAGGUUCGUGAUGUACUUGUCAUCAUAGUGUGUGAUAAAGCUGACCUUUCUAUUUUCUUGCGCUUUGACGUUAAUUUAAAUCUACCCAUUUGGACAUGAUGCGACAAGUGUAAUGUUGUCACAACACUCAGCGUUAGAUUUUUGUGUGUGUUUGAAUCCGCAAUCUGCGUAUUGAUGCUUGCACGGAAGCAAAUGCAGUUCUUCACAGAUAAAGGGGCAUGAAGCAUUGCCUUACGACUGCUUCACGAGUACUACUGCUAAUAAGUGGCAGCCUUGGAGACUCUUGCGGGUACAAUUGUUUCUGAAUCCGCGGCUGUGGCAUUCUUUUUAAAGUAUUCUUUGUAUAACUUUACUUCGUUUGUGUUUAAAUCAUCAUCUGCCAGAUGUGUGGAUUUGGAACACUGACCAUCUGUAUGGAGGUGCACUUGAUGUGUAUACAAAUUUUUAAUGUAUUUUCCGCUAUACAAACACAGCCCUGUGAUAGCCUAGGGCCACUGCAAUUUGUAUAAAUAAAUUAUGUAUUAUGAAAACUCA